CUCAGGGCCUCACGCAUGCUAGGCAAGCACUCUACCACUGAGCUUCACCCCCAACCCAAGGGAUGGGUUUUAUUGUCCACACAUAAAUGUUCAACCAUGACACGGGCUCAUCAUUUUCAGAGUAAUACUUUAUGAAUUUGUAAACCUAUAGACACUGCAAAUUCAAUCUUCAUUAUAUGUUGUAUGAUGAUUCUGUUCCCAGUAAAGUUUUACUGUAUGUAAAUGUUUGAUGAGUGUAUCUUCUCCAUCUUUCUCAUCACCAUCACCCUCCAUCUAUCAACAAAAACCAAGGGAUUGGGAGGGGUUGGGGUUGUUACUACAUCCCCUCCAAGAUAGGAAAACUAAGGCCUUGGAAAUCAGCACUGUAUCUGAGGCACAUGGCAGGGACGAAGUCUCAGCUCUCCAUCAUGGCAACCACUACAAUUGAUUUUGGAACAUUUUUUCAUUCCAGAAAGAAACUCUGUAACUAUAAGCAGUCACUCCCAUUUCUCCCUGAUCAGCAACAUAAAUCCACCUCUGAACAUUUUAUGUAAAUGGAAACAAAUAACAUAUGGCCUUUCAGUCAGGAUUCUUCUCUCAGGAUAAUGUUUUAGGUUCACCCAGCUACAGCUGUACCAGUACUUUGUAUCCUUUUAUUGCUUAAUAAUAUUCCACUGUGUGGAUACGCCACAUUAUCUAUGCAUUCACCCACUGAUGGACAUUUGAGCUGUUUCUACUUUUUGACUUAUGAAUGAUUUUGUGAAAAUUUGUGUACAAGUUUUGUGUGCAGGUCUGUUUUCUUGGAAGCUAAUUUUUUGAGCUAUCUAGUAGCAUCUUUAUGGCUUCCUGGAUAUGAAACCCUGAAACAGUUGAAUUGUGGGAAUCUUGCUCCUAUCUUGCCUCGCCUUCCUCCAGGGAACCCCCGCAGAAUCUCGAGAGAAGAAUCGUGAGUGUAUCCUGCUGAAUUUCUUUGAUGACCACGACAUUUGGCACUUUCUCUCUGCUACUGCCCUGUUUUUCUCAUUCUUGGUGAGUUUAUCAUGUCUUUUUAUUGCUUUUUCUCUUUACAUUCUGGUCUCUUCCACUCUUCCUUACAUCCUCUUUUAUAUUCCUCUAUAAUUUCCCUUUCCAGUUCCUCAUUAUAAUUCAACAUGCAUAUUAUUUUCUUUUUUAAAAAUAUUGUAUCUCAAUUUUCAUUUUGCUUUUACUUUUCAAUAAUUUUAGACACAGAGUGACAAAAUUAUCUUCCUAACUAACACAGCACAUCAGGACUGACUUGGUUAUUAGACUCAUAUGCCUAGAAGUCCCUCCAGGAACCACUUUUGGCAUUCACUAAAUUUCCUAUAACAUUGGGUUAUUCCUUCUCUUCCCACUCCUCCGCUCUCACUUAAUAUUUUAUGAAUGAUUCACAGAUUCCUAGAGUGGUUCAGGGCAGCCACCAGGCCUGUGUUGCCUUCUAACCGUCUGUGCCAAAUCUCUGCUGUAAUUCCUCUAUUUUCUGCCCAAAAUUCUUUCCCAGAAGCCAUGCAUAUUUAUGUCAACCUGGGAUGAUAUCUCCCAGCAUCCUCUAAUCUUGUUUUUCACAUUUCAGAAUUAAAAGUCUGUCAUGCCUGCACACAGGUUCCCUUGACACCACCACUGGACUCCCAAAGCCAUCCACUUGAAGCAGUCUCAGGCUGGCCGUACUACCUCAGGAGUGGAGCAGGGCUACCCCCUAGUGUCACCUUUGGGAAGUUCAUCCAAUCUGUAUGAAUACUCUGUAGGACUUUUCUUUUUGAUAGUCCUGUUCUUGAGAGAGAUCGACAACGAAAAAUGGAGCUAAGGAUUCUAUAUGGGGAAAGUGGUGGCCAAGGGAACUAGAAUUGGAGGAUAAGGCUCCAUUUUUUAUAUAGCAUUAAUCUGUGCAAAAGACUGCAUUUUCUUUAAGUCUUGACCUAAAUGUUACCUUCUAAGUGACUUCCCAGGCCACCCUGUAAAAAUUUGCCACACCCAAUCCCACAUGUCCUAUAUUCCCUAGUUUAAUUUUCAUUCUUAGCUCAUAUAGCUUUCUAAAAUACUGUGUUUUACCCAUGCAUUUGUUUCAUGUCGAAAGCCAUCUCUUGGAUGGAAACUCCAUGAGGGUGGGAUAUUUCUCUUUUACUCCAACUAUAUCUUCAGCAUCUAGAAUAACACCUAAUAAAUUCUCAUGACUAUUUGAAUUAAUUAACAAAUGAACUAUAUAGUUAUAAUAAGUGCUUGUUAUGAGCAAGACAUUGCAGGAGCCACAGAGGAUAAGGAAGACAAUUCAGGAAACAGUGUUUUUACUCUGUGGGAAUCACAAAAUAGGGAUGUGGUGUGGCUGUGACUAAGCAUUCUUUUCAUUUCUCUGUCGCUCUCAUCUCAGGUUUUGUUAACUCUGGAUGAUGACCUGGAUGUGGUUCGGAGAGACCAGAUCCCUGUAUUCUGAGCCUCCAGCAUAAAGAAGUGUACAACAAAUGAUCCAUCUUGGUGCUGAUUCUUGAAGAACACAAUGACUGCAGCAACGAACCCACUGCCAAACACUCCACUCGUCUCUGUGGAGUCAACUCUCAUUCACACAGGAAGGAGAGGAGCUGGGGGAGAGCUAUACCCUGUAAGAAGGGAGGCAGAAAAGAAGCCACAGCUGCAGACAGAGGCAAACCCUGAGAAGCUCAGAAGCACCCAACCUGUGUCUGCAUUGUCAACUCAGAAAGUUAGACGUGGACAAAAGCUGCAUGACAAUCAACUCAUUGUCUGGGACCCUCCCACUCUCACCUGACAUUUAUCAGAACAUGGCUGCAUACUUCCCUGGGCCACGGGAAUGCCCAGAAAGACCAGCAGCUUGGAUUUCCUGCCCAGAAACCUUGGUGUGGCCUUCGCACCUCUGUGAUGCCCACUGCUCUAGAGGUCCAAAGCAGCAUCUCAUUUCUGCAAGGUCCUGUGAAAUCGUGAUUUCUCACUGUACUGUGGAGAGGGUGCAGAGGUGGACCAAGCCCCCACCCAGCUGGUAGCCCAGCUAGUCAUCUCCUCAGAAGGAACACUGAAUGUUCCCCCAGGCUCCUGACACCAUGAGGACUCAGGAUUGGACACUGUCACACACUCUUCUGAACAGGAAACUAUCACUGGGACCAAUGCCUGGGUGCUUAUCUAUUCUCAGUGUCUUAAUCUCACUGCUGUGUUGAUCCUUUACUCUGGCUCCACCUUCUUGGAAAGACCUUGUUACUCCUUAAACCCACUUAUCUUAAAAUGGGAAGAGAAAUGGGAAAAUUUCUUCUGGCAGUAGGAGGAGCAGGAAAAAUCACUCACAGAACUAAGAGACUGGAAACAUCAAGCAGACAGGCUUUGCCUUGUGAACUGGGGCUACUGGAGAAAAUCCAGUGAAACAACAGUAUUUGCUCAGCCUCCAGUUCACACAGAUUAGUGAUGUGCCCACGUGACCUUUGGCAGAGAAAUAACUGUUCUAACCAGGGGCAUCACUCUAUGGGCCUCCACAACUGAGCCCCUCAGCUUGUAUGAUCAGAAUUCCAGAUUUUCUCCCUGAAGUUCUCAGGAUGAACACAUUUUCCUCUGCCUCUCUGGUUGCAAAGAGUAUAGCUAAUGGAACAUUGUGUCUUUUUGUACCUGACCCUCCCCAGCAUGGUGUUGAAAAGCUUAGCAUUCUGGUUCCCUUCUCACACUGUCUGGCAGCUGUGCCUCUGAGAAGUCCCAUUUUGACAGAACAUCUGGUUGCCAGGAGUAUGAUGUAAUCAGAAAAUAGACAUACAAAUGUAUGCACACAUACGUGUUUGCUUGUGAAAUUGAAAUCACUUCUCAUCUCUACUUUCCUAGUCAUUCAUUAGAGAAGUAGAUUGGACAUUCUCCUUUAAAAUGUUUUUCCUCUCAAAUAUUUGCAUACUGUUCAAAAAAAGAUACUUUGCAAGUUUGAACAGUAAGCUUUUCCUAAAUUUUAAAAACACAAAUGUGCUUUCUGUGAAAUAUUUUAUGUGCUUUUUCUAAAAAUCUCCUAAAUUUGUAAUUGAUCUUCUGUUAUUCUUUAUUCCUUAAAAAUUAUUGGCUUCCAUAGGUCACACAGAGGCCACCAAUUAAAUGGUUGGGUCAAUUUAACAUGUAAAAAAAUUUUUGAACCUAUUUCACUAUGACUGACUUGGCGUAAUUCUUUUAAGGCACUCAAAGGAGACACUAAAGAUAUGAACAACAAAGUCCACCCAAGUAAAUAAAUGUCUCCAGAAGCUUGUUUGGGAAAAACAUCAGUGAAAAUGGGGAGGGCCCCUGCAGAAAGGGGUGGACUGUUCCUUGCUGUGUUCUGGUAAUGUCUGUCUUGUGCAAUCAAGUCACACACUGUGGUCAGUUUUGUUCUCUGCAGCAGGACUAAAAACCCAGACUAAGUCUGCUUUUAUAAAU
rnacentral:lncRNA from 1 species